UAGAACAGUCAAGAGACUCAACAAUAUAAAUAUUAUAUUAAUAUUAUGAAAUAGUGGUUUGUCUAAAUUUAAACACAAUGUGUAGUCAUGUGGAAAGCCUAUACACUGUUAUAUAUCUGUAAAUGGAAUAUUUUGUCUAUAUUAAUAGAUCCUGAUUCUGUUUUUUUAAACAAAUGUAAGCAGCUAAUCCAUCACCAAACCUAACUAUAGAGUAUCAUUUUUGUUUAUUUUUAGCUUAUUUUAUUUUAAGUUGAGAGAGACGUAAACAUUGGUAAGGUGACAAUAUACUUUAGCCAUUCAUGCAUUUAGACCCUAUCAAAACCUUUAAUAUAGUGACCUAAUAAGCAAACCUAAUAAUUUAAAGGGGACAUAUUAUGAAAAUCUGACUUUUUCCAUGUUUAAUUGCUAUAGUUGUGUCCCCAGUGCUUCUGUCAACCUAGAAAAUGUGAAAAAGAUCAACCCAGUAACUUAGUUUUGGUAAACCAUUCUUUCCAAGCAUGUGAAAAAAUAGGUCAUUGUAAUUUGGCUCCUAUUGUGAUGUUAGAAUAAGGUAAUACCGCCCCCUUUAUCUGCACUAUCCAACCACAGCACUGCCAUUUAGUUCAAAGAGAAAGAGAAAGAAAAGAAGGACUUGACAGCACAAUUGAGUUUCAAUUACAAGAAACCACCAUCAUUGUGAUCAGUGUUUGCACUUCAGCCGCUCAUUUGCAUUUUAAAUGACACACCCAAAACGGCACACUUUGCUCAGACCUACAUUUUGAUCUAGUUUACAUCUUAAAAAAAAUCUCAUAAUAUGUCCCCUUUAAGUCAUUUAAAGAGCACCUAUUAUGGGAUACACGUUUUUAAACAUCCUUUUGUGUGUAAGUGUGCAUUAGUACAUGCUAACGAUAUUCAAAAAGUACAUACCUCAAAGAAAACGAUGACGCGAGUUAUCGUCUCUAACGUUCGAGGACUACAAAAAACACUCGGAUUGUAGGCAACAGUUUACUUCCUGGGAUUAGUGACGUAGAUAAGACCAACAUUAUCAUAGUUCAGCCCUCUCUGCUUUGCUUGGGUACGCCCUCAAAGACGGGGGUGGGGAGCGCCGAGUCAGAAGAGAGCUAAAAUGGCGGAGGUUGUGAGUCCCUGCUUUGACUCUGUUUGCAAACUCUUGUUUCAUUGUUUAAGCGAUUAAAUCUCUCGAGUAGACGCUGUCUCUUUAGAUGCGAGGGCAAAAUAGCACUUUAUGGACUUCCACAGAGGACAUCAUGUUUAAUACGGUUCCGGAAAAAUCCAGUCAGAAGUUGUUCACGGAGUUUUCACAAUAACUGCUUCUCAUGAACCGAAGCUGGAUUUGCGCGACGUCUCCUCUUGAAAGUUGGAUUACUGUGCACUUCUGGAUCACAGACUAUUCGCAGCUGUACACAUCCUUAUACACUGUAUGCAAACAUGCAACAUCAUUACACACAGUACAAGGAGUCAGACUGGCAUAUGAGGAGCAAAGGAACCCAGGCAGUAGCAUCGUUUCACAAUGUUUCCAUCAUCAUCAUCAGUGGAUGCCUUUGCCGUCCGUAGCCUGAGAUUUCAGAUUUGCAGCAAAAAAAAUUGAUUUUCUCAUUUAUUGGAAUGCUGUGCAGGUAUUUGUACCUUGCAGCCAUCCAUUACAAUGUCACCAAGCCGUAACAAAAGCAGGAGAGGAAAAGUACAAGGCUAUGUUCCCAAAACACACAAGUGACAUACCUUAUGUGGAGGAUGUGAUCAGGCUUGUGUUUGAUGAGGUAUUUGAAGAUAAGCUGAAGGAAACCCCGAUUCCAAUGGACCUGGCAUCACAGUUUGAGAGACCUUCAAAGGAGGACGUGAUUGCAUGCCAUCUUCAGUGCAGGGGUCGUCGAAAGCCAAAAUUGUGACCGAUCUGAUCAGGAAGCUCCAAGCGUAUCUGGAGAACAACACACGACAGGAUGAUAACCUUAUAGUGUCGUCUUAAAUAGCACCAGCUGACAAAGCUUUGAUAUGCCAUUUAUCUGAAUAGAUAGCUGUAAGAAAUGAAUUGAACAAUUUUUGAAACA